GUCGAGCGAACAGACGAGGAGCUUGCUCCUCUGACGUUAGCGGCGGACGGGUGAGUAACACGUGGAUAACCUACCUAUAAGACUGGGAUAACUUCGGGAAACCGGAGCUAAUACCGGAUAAUAUAUUGAACCGCAUGGUUCAAUAGUGAAAGACGGUUUUGCUGUCACUUAUAGAUGGAUCCGCGCCGCAUUAGCUAGUUGGUAAGGUAACGGCUUACCAAGGCAACGAUGCGUAGCCGACCUGAGAGGGUGAUCGGCCACACUGGAACUGAGACACGGUCCAGACUCCUACGGGAGGCAGCAGUAGGGAAUCUUCCGCAAUGGGCGAAAGCCUGACGGAGCAACGCCGCGUGAGUGAUGAAGGUCUUCGGAUCGUAAAACUCUGUUAUUAGGGAAGAACAAAUGUGUAAGUAACUAUGCACGUCUUGACGGUACCUAAUCAGAAAGCCACGGCUAACUACGUGCCAGCAGCCGCGGUAAUACGUAGGUGGCAAGCGUUAUCCGGAAUUAUUGGGCGUAAAGCGCGCGUAGGCGGUUUUUUAAGUCUGAUGUGAAAGCCCACGGCUCAACCGUGGAGGGUCAUUGGAAACUGGAAAACUUGAGUGCAGAAGAGGAAAGUGGAAUUCCAUGUGUAGCGGUGAAAUGCGCAGAGAUAUGGAGGAACACCAGUGGCGAAGGCGACUUUCUGGUCUGUAACUGACGCUGAUGUGCGAAAGCGUG
rnacentral:rRNA from 1 species